GCGGUCGUGGCGAAAUUGGUAGACGCGCUGGAUUUAGGUUCCAGUGCCGCAAGGCGUGAGAGUUCAAGUCUCUCCGACCGCACCA
rnacentral:tRNA from 2 species